GAGAGAGAGAGAGAGAGAGAGCAGGGCUGCAGUGCUCUUCUGAGCCGUUUUCGAUGAUGGAAUUUUCGAAUCGACGAUCGGCUCCGUUAGAUUUGAUCUAGCAUAUUUGAAUUUUCUAAAAAAUAUAUUUUGCGAUUUUUUGAUAUUAUUUAUCUAGUGAUCGAAAUGAUUCAAAAUCAACAAUUUUUAAUGGUUAAUAUCUGUCGUUUUCAAGCUUAACGGUGUAGAAAUAUUCAAAUCAGAUGAAAUUUUGAUAGAAAAUUCUUUAUAUUAUCUACAAUAAGAUCAAUAUUUCUGAUCGAAAAUUUUAGUACUAUAUCACCACUUUUUAUAGAAUUUUUAUUUUCAGCCGUUAAAAAUUAUUGAUUUUGAAUCCUUUCGAUUGCUAGAAAAAUGAUAUCGAAAAAUCGCAAAAAUUAUUUUCUAAAAACUUCAAAUAUGCUAGAUCAAGUCUAACGGAGCUGAUCGUCGAUUCGAAAGUCCUAUCAUCAAAAAUGACUUAGGAGCACGGAGGGCUUUGUGCUCCUGAGAGCACAGCAGUCCUACUCUCUCUCUCUCUCUCUUUCUCUCUCUCUCUCGUCUCUUCAUCCGUAUACCCCACCUUCUCCCGUUCAGUCCGGUGUCUCUCUCUCAUCCUCACUGUCCCUCUCCAUCUCUCUUCAUUCUUCGUCCACCAUUCUCUCCUGCUCUCCUCUCUUUCUCUCCUCUCAGUGAACUGCACGCGACUCCGUCUCUAAUAUUAUAUACUAUAUUAAUAUAUAUAAUUAGAGUCGGCUAAUAUACUAUCAAAUAGCUACCAAGUCCUUUAUACUAUUGAGUUUUCUACCGUUAGAUCUACCCUUUGAUCAUUUCCAGCCAUUAGAUUAUACUAUUAAACCAACCACCCACUCAACCCUAAGGAACCACUAUCAAUUUAACCGGGGACCACUAUCAUCUUAACCGCACAUCUAUUCAUCCAACGGCCGAAAACUCAAUAGUACCAAGGGCUUGGUACUAUUGAUAGUAUAGUAGCAUAAUUCUAUAUAGAGUCAGGCUAAUAUACUAUCAAUAGUACCAAGCCCUUGAUACUAUUGAGUUUUCUACCGUUAGAUCUACCCUUUGACUAUAAAAUAUAUAUAUUAAGUCUAAUAUAUAAAUAAUUUAUCAAAGCAAUUUUCUCGAGACAUGUAGUAAGAGUUAAGUUCAAAUUUGUAUCAAGCAUAUAUUGACUAUAAAAUAUACUAAUGAUAAGUCUUUCAAAAUAUUACAAUUUGGUGCAUUGUGCAUGUGUUCAUACAUACACUGUAUAAAAGAAAAAAAAUUCAUUAAUUACUUUCUAAGCAUAAUAAUCUAAUAUAUUAAUUAGAGGACACACCACCUACAUCAGUCACAUCCUUUUGCACGACUCAAAGCAUCUAAAAAUGCUUACGUAGACAACUCUAUAAUAAGAGCACAAAAAAAAUUAAUACGAUAAGUGAAUUAAUAAGAACCAUAAGCUACCGUUUGGUUCGGGAUUAAGAAAAAACUAGUUAUUCCAGGAAUAGGGUUAAGUUUAGGGUUAAGAUGAGAUUAGAGUAUUUUUGUGUGGUUGGAGGUUGGAGUUAGUCCAGGAUAGUAAAAAAUAGUAUUUGGUUGGAGUAGAUGAGAUAAAAAGGAUAGUGGGUUAUUAUGAAUAGAAAAUAGUGUUUGGUUGGGGUUUGGUGGGGUUAGACGGGAUUAGCUAAUCUGGAAUAAUACAUUUGAGAUGGGGUUAGCUAACCCCAUCCAUUUUUAGAAGUAUUUGGGAAUAAAAUGGGGGUUAAGCCAACUAAACGGAGCGCAUGAAAAACUUUUUUUUUUUAAACCAGGCUAUAAGAAAAUAUUUGCGUCACAUAAUUAGUGAUGAUGGGGAAGCAUUUGGCCCCGUAGAUGGUGCGAUUGAGACAAAUGAGCGUCCAAAAAAUCCUACUACGCAUGGGUCGCAUUGAAAUCAAAAUCCUAUUACGCAUGGGUUACGUUGAGCCUUUUGGGCCCCGCGAAUGAUUGGUGAUCAUUAUUGACUCGUAAACUAUAUAUAAUAGAUAUUAUCCAAUAAAUUACUAUAUAUUUUGAGCAAUGCUUCAAUAUUUGUCUUUUUGCUGAAUUUGUAUUAUUGUUCAAAUGGUGCUAUCCAGUUCAAUUUGGAGUGGAAUAUUACAUCCAAACUUAUAAUGGCAUAUAUUAUGCAAGACUUCUGCGUUUUUUGAACUCGGGUUCGUGUGAUCAAUGAUUAGAAAACGAAAAUUAAAAGAGAGAGAAAAAAAUAACAGUAAAAUAAGAAAAAAUAUCAGAUGAAGAAGAAAAAGAAUGGCUUUAAGUUUAAAAUGCGAGCUUUGUUUAGUUAUCUGAAAAAUCCGAUCAACCUGAGUUACACACGAGUUUAAAUUACACCAUCGAUCUCUCUACCUAUCAAGUUGUUUAUUUUUUGUCUGAGAGCUUUAAAUUCUUAAAAUACACACACUCAACGCUCUUAUUUCUACUCCAGUAAGACCUAAAUCUCGAAUUAAAAUUUUGGUACUAAUCAUCUAGCAUUUUGCGACUUACGCCAACAACGAUUGGUUAGAUCUAACAAUUAAGAUGAUUAAGUUCUUCACGACUUUAGUGACCUUUCAUUCAAUUAUAUAUCUUAUUCUAAUUAAUGAAUACUUUGAUUUGAAUUAGAGUUGGUCUUUGACAAUUAUAACUUUUAAAAUUAAAAUCAUGGCAAGCCUAUUUUCUUCGGCUCAGUACAGCAUGGCCCGCAUGUCAUGCAAAAAGACAAGGAUCCAGCUUUAAUUUUUGUGUAGAGAGACAAGAAGAAGAAAAAUUAUCUAGUAAUCAGAGAGACAGAAAGUCCUUGUUAUAAUAACAACUUUAUUUCUUGCACUCUAGACUUUUUUAUAUUUACACACAGCUUUACAAUAAAAAUUAACUAGUUAUACUAUUGGUAAUUAUAUAUAUGUACUAUACUAUUGGUAAUUAUAUAUAUAUAUAUAUAUAUAUAUAUAUACACACGUCCGUACAUUGGCAGAUUAAACCGUCUACACCAAAGUGGAGCACGUAGACGUUGACGGGUCAAAGAGCGCCGGAACCAGAUACUUCCUCCCGUGGACUCCAUUAGCGUUGUAGCUCGCGCCAGUGGUGGGGUCCACUAGUAAAUUCCCAGCGUAACCCGGAUACGCUCCCUUGGCGUACACACCCGCGCACGCCGUCGCGGCCUCCAACGGCGCCUCCUUGGGCCCCUGGAAGAACCCGUCCCCAAACGGAUUCGUGACGGCCCCGGCCAUCAUGCUCGCGAGGUUGAUCACCAUGCCGUCGACGCCGACGUCGCCGUUAGGCGCCGUUAACGGCGGGGUCUGCGGGCCGUAGAUGGGCUGGUGGAAGGGCCACGCGCACUGGCCGGGGCACUGGGUCGCCGAGUUCCCAACCCAGACGUACGCCGACCCGGUUCUCCGGUCCGAGCCGUGGACCCCGCACCGGCUCAUGCAGAACCCCUCGACCGCCACGUCCUGGGCCGUGAAAACCAGCCCAACUCCUCCCUUCUUGGGCUGGGCCUUCGCGGCGAGCUCCGAAAUUUGGCCCAUCGUAAGGUACUUCCCCGAAGAGCACCCCUCAUCCGAGACUUGGUUUGUUAGCACGACAUGGGCCGUGUUUGGGCCUCCGCUUUUCCCGGCCUUGGACAAGUAAAGCUGUUCUAUGGAGCUCCACCACUGGGACACAGAAGGGUUCGGCGACUGUGUAGUGGAGGUGAGGGAGAGGAGAAAAUCGGAGAUAAUGGAUUUUUGGGUGGGAGUAAAUUGGCCGUACCAUAAGAUGGAGACAGGGAUAUCUCCUCGGAGCACUUGGCCGUUGUGGUACGUGAGGAGAUUGGGUUGUGGUUGCACUAAAGCACUCAGUUUCCUACCAGAGUACCCCGUUGAGAAGUGAACUAGGCUCACUAAAACUACAACUAGAAGAAGCAGCUGAGACUUAGCCAUUUUUGGGAAAGGGAUUUGAGGAGGAGCAGUGAGUGUUGUUUUGUUUUUGGCGGUGGGAUGAAGGGGAAUGAUGGGUUUACAUAUAUAUAUAUAUAUAUAUAGAGAGAGAGAGAGAGAGAGAGAGAGAGAGAGAGAGAGAGAGAGAGAGAGAUAUUGAUAGGAAGGGAAGAGAGAGUGGGAGUUGAUUGGGAGGGUUUCGCUCUCAUCUUCCUACCAUUAUUUUAGGAGGGAGUACUGGGACACCUGGAAGGCAGCUGGAUGUACCUAUCCGUGGUCUAAAAAAUAUAUAAAUUUUUUAAAAAAUAAUACUUAUAAAAAUAAAAAAUGACAAACGAAUAUUAUAAAAAAUUAACUGAACCAAUAUCUGAGCAAAGAUUCUUAUUGUAAAUCAACAGCAUUAGCUAAUGUCUCUUCUUUUCUAUCUUUAAGCUAAUUUAAUUCUUAUUUUUUUCACUUUUAUUUUAUUACUAUACAAUUUAGGGUAAUCGAUGGCAUUAUUUAUUUUAAAAUAAAAAACUAAAAAAUAAAUUUAUAAUCUCAUCACUAACGUGAGAGUCCGCAGUCAAUUCAUAUAUAAACUAUCCUAAUGAAAUAAUUUACAAUCAAGUAACUAUCGAAAAUUUAUAUAGUGAGCUCUUAAAUAAAGUUGCUUUCGAGUUAAUGUUAAAGGGCUAAAUCAAGUCAAAAUAUUUGAACUAAAAUGCAGAGAUAUUCUCCAUGUUCAUGCCAAUUUUUUCGUCGUUAAAUCCACUCUUUUAGCCAUUUUCACCUUUUAGAUCAUGUUAUUCAUCAACCAAUUAUUACAUUUCAGAAAAGUACUAUCAUUCUAAUGGCAUCUAUUCUUUUAUUCAAGACUCGAAAAUCUAAUAGCACCUAUGAGUAGUUGGUGCCAUUAAUAGUAUUGUAGUCUAGUUCCACUUUAUAUAUAUAUUUUCAAUAGCAAAUAUUAAUUUUAAUUGGAGAAGAAUAGAUUUAAUUUUUCAACUCCCUGUAGUGUCUGUAGCUCACUAUUGUAGCUCAACUUGUACGACGUACCCAAUUAUUUACGGAUCCGUAUUAAUUUGUCCAGUGGAAUCCACUGCAUCUAAUAAGCCCAAAGUUUGGAGAAUGAUUAAUAUUUUAUUUUUAUGAAAAGCAAUACCUGUUCCUUCAGUAAUAGCGCAUAAAUUUUACAUUUCACUCACCAAUAAUAUAUAUUUUUAUUAUUUUAAAUUUUAAAUUUUGAAAAAUUUAUCCUAAGUUAGGCACAAAAUUUAUAUUUAUUUUUAGGUGUAUGGUUAACUGUGCUCUUAUCUUUCAGCUAAAUGAUUGAGAUGCCUGUCCAUCAAUGUCAUCAUUGUCAAUUCAAUAAAAUUGGAAUCUGGCUCCAAAAGUAGCCUAAUUGUGUCAUGUCCAACGAACCAGUCCGUUUCAUUCUUAUGCAAAAAGUUGAAAUGAGUGUGUCUCUCAGAUUAUAAUUUACAAUGUUUAGGAGUAAGUUACCAAAUCUUUAUAAACUAGGCCUUUAUUAAAGUAAAAUGUGAUUUAUACGAUAAGAUUUCUGAGUACAGUUGUCUGAACAAAAAUUUUACUGAAAUAAUAAUUAUACUUUCAAUUUUGAAAAAAAAAUAAACGACACACCAAACUAUUUUUCAUAAAUUGUAUUAUUUUUUUUUAUUAAUUUUAUCUUAAUCAGGACGAAUUUCGAGCAGCGUUAUGUCGGCAAUUAGGAGGGACCGGGAAAAUUAAUAAUGCCGCGUCAUUAAUACGGCCAUAUCUUAACCUAUUUUUGGUGUUUCUUUUUGCUUAUUAAAAUCAUAAAUUAUUUCUUGUGCAAUUAAGGACACCAUAUGAUUUCAAAUUGGGAGAAAGGUCGCGUCUGACGGCAGAGAGAGAGAGAGAGAGAGAGAGAGAGAGAGAGAGAGAGAAAAGAUUGGGAGAGGUCGUGUCAGGGGAAGGUAGGUUUUCCGGCCAGAGCUGACUAUGACUACAGUUGUCACGUGCGGGCAUACAGCUGUCGAAGAUUCUCAACACGAGCACAUUUAUUUGUUAGAGAUGAGGACUCCAAAAUCCUAUUCAAUGCUCCAUCUCCUUUGUUUACUUGCAUAUUUAGAAUUUCUUUUUUUCUUUUGUCCUAACUAGGGGAAGCAGUUCAACUUAUUGUUUAUAAGUCAGCUCAUAUUUUACUCAAAAUAAAUUCGAGAUCGAAUUAUUCGAGAUCGAAUUGUUCAUAAACAAGUCGAACACGAGUUCGUUUCGAUAACCAUUCGAUUACAUAUAUUUUAUUUUUAUAGAACUUACAUAAUUUAUACAAAAUGAAUAAUUAUAUAUAUAAUAUAUAUUUUUAUUAUUUAAUUUUUAUCUCAAUAUAAAUAUAAAAUCUAACUCAAUUAUAAAAAGAUCUAUUUAUGUGCAAGGUUUUAACCAUUAGAUCAAAAUCUAAUGGGUAAAAUCACGUAAAUUUAUUUUCUAUAUAUAUUCCUUAUAAUUUGUAACUAAUUGUUUAUUAGUCUGCUCCUGUUCGGCUCGUUAAUAAACCAAUCAAACACGAGCUGAAUUUUUCGACUCGAUACUUUAAUGAGCCAACUUAAAAUCGGCCCGUUUAUGAAAUGAGCCGAACACCGGUCGAUCUGAGUUUGCUCGUGUUCGGCUUGUUACACCCCCUAAUCGUUACUUAUUCUAGAUUAAAAAUUAUUUUUGAUUAUACUAAAAUUUAGAUAAAUUUUAUUUUCUCACUGGUGACCGUACAGUAUUCAAUUUUAAUUAUUUUUUAUUUUGCCUUGUAAAAUGUCGUCAGCAACUAGACAGAACAUAAUUAUGAUAUAUUUGAAAAUAGUAGAUUUGUGGCUGAAUUUGAUUUAUUAUUUUGACACAUUAAACAACAGCAGUGAGCAAUUAUUGCCAGAAGAUAAGUUCACCCUUCACUUUCUGCGACUCAAUCACUCAAAUAUGCUCUUACUAUUCUAUACUAAUUUUUUUUUUGUAUGGGCCAAUUAGGCCAAAAUCAUGAGGGCCAACUUUUAGCCUAAUGGGCUCUUCUUUCGAAGCCCAAACGAGUAGCGUUGCGUACUCACAGUGAUAUUAAUGAUGUGGUAUUUUCAGCCAAAUAUAUUUGGUCUUUGAGAUACAUCCAUUUCAUUAUAAUUUUUAGAAAAAAAAAAUUAAUAAAUUUUUUAAUAAAUCGAGGAAUUUGAAUGGUAGAGAUAUAGUGAUGUGGUGUGACUAUCACAUUCGACGUUCAAGAUUUUAUUCGAGAUUAUUCUUAUAUAGGAUAAGGCAGGAGCGCUUCAAUCCAAUCACAUUGUCACGACAUUUUCGAUGGGAUUUAAUAAGCUCAGCCUGAUUUGUAAUGGAAUCAUUUGAUUCCUCUCUAUUUGAUUAUUCCAAUUUCUUACAUGCCUUAACCCCUUUCGAGUGACUAAAUUCUUGGUGUCUGCUUUAGUCUCUCAUCUCAUCUUAUCUUAUACCAAUUAGCGAUGAAUGUUUAACUAGCUCUAUAUUGCACACCUUGAGUGGACAAUUAAAAUAUCAAUAUCUCGGCCUAGCAGUUUGAAAUUCAAACUGUGAGCUUGAUUACCUUCCAAACAAAAAGAAGAAGUUUUAAAUACUUGAUCCAAAUGUUUUUUUUUUCGGGGGAGAUUAAUAAUUUAAAGAUGAUGGUCUUUCGAAAUGUUUUCUCUUUUUUACAUCGUGAGCAGAAAAAAUAAAUAAAAUUAUUGAAGUUCAAAGAAAGCACCAUGUAAACGAAUCACAAAUUUCACGCGCUUUAUUUUACUUUUCCAAGGGGGGUAACAGAUAACGAAUCAACGAAUUACAUGGAUAAUAACUCACAAGUAUCUACAUUUACCAUAUAUAUAUAUAUAUAUAUAUAUAAUUAUAAUUAUAUAUGUAACAUAGUUAAUAUCUUUUUAUCCAAUCCUAAACCAUGGUGGAGCACGUAGACGUUGACGGGUCAAACAGCGCCGGAACCAGAUACUUCCUCCCGUGGACUCCAUUAGCGUUGUAGCUCGCGCCAGUGGUGGGGUCCACUAGUAAAUUCCCAGCGUAACCCGGAUACGCCCCCUUGCCGUACACACCCGCGCACGCCGUCGCGGCCUCCAACGGCGCCUCCUUGGGCCCCUGGAAGAACCCGUCCCCGAACGGAUUCGUGACGGCCCCGGCCAACAUGCUCGCGAGGUUGAUCACCAUGCCGUCGACGCCGACGUCGCCGUUAGGCGCCGUUAGCGGCGGGGUCUGUGGGCCGUAGGUGGGCUGGUGGAAGGGCCACGCGCACUGGCCCGGGCACUGGGUCGCCGAGUUCCCGACCCAGACGUACGCCGACCCGGUUCUCGGGUCCGAGCCGUGGAGCCCACACCGGCUCAUGCAGAACCCCUCGACCGCCACGUCCUGGGCCGUGAAAACCAGCCCAACUCCUCCCUUCUUGGGCUGGGCCCUCGCGGCGAGCUCCGAAAUUUGGCCCAUCGUAAGGGUCCUCCCCAAAGAGCACCCCUCAUCGGAGACUUGGUUUGCUAACACGACAUGGGCCGUGUUUGGGCCUCCACUUUUCCCGGCCUUGGACAAGUAAAGCUGUUCUAUGGAGCUCCACCACUGGGACACAGAAGGGUUGGGCGAGGACUGUGUGGUGGAGGUGAGGGAGAGGAGAAAAUCGGAGAUGAUGGAUUUUUGGGUUGGAGUAAAUUGGCCGUACCAUAAGAUGGAGACAGGGAUAUCUCCUCGGAGCACUUGGCCGUUGUGGUACGUGAGGAGAUUGGGCUGUGGUUCUACUAAAGCACUCAGUUUUCUACUAAACCCCAUUGAGAAAUGUGCUAAGCUCAAAAUGGCUAAAAGUAGAAGAGUGAUCUUAGACAUACAAAACGAAGCCAUUGAAGAGAGAGAGAGAGAGAGAGAGAGAGAGAGGGGGGAAUGAGUGGGAGCUUAACCUUACAGUUGAAUGGUUUACGCUUAUGGUUGAAGCAAAAUUAAGCAACGCAUCUAUUUAUAGGAGAGGAGAUAUAUAACAAAUAAUGGGUGAGUUCAUUAAUUAUUACGAUGGUUCGCCUCAGCUUCCAUGUAAUAAUAUAAUAUUAUUAUUAUUAUUUUAUUAUUAUUCAUUAUAGAGAGGGAGGGACACUUGUUUUUGGUCGGCAACCGUGGAGUCUACAGAGUCUGCUUGCUACGUACGUGCAUGUAUGCGCUGUUUUUAAAGCAGGGUGUGGAAGUCAAAGAGCGUUAAGGGAUAGGGAGGCCGCGUACAUGCAUGCAUAACGCCGCAGAUUUAUGGAAUUUAGGAAGCAGGAUUGCAUGUGAUGGAGGGAGGUUCUUUGUAGCCACAUAUAAAGAUUAAUUAGUUUAUUGCAUUAAUAAAUAGGUGGGUGAUUAAAUUUUAAACAGGACACUUCUUGCUAAGCUAGUUGACCCAUAGUUAACAAUUAUUGGCAUGCUCCAGCUAAUAUAUCGGAGAUGAAAAGGACUUGGUUUUUAUCAAUUAAUGUCUCAGCUGAGUAAAAAAUUUUAAAGCUAAACUCCAUUUUUCGUUCUCGAACUUUCAGCAAACUGUAAUUUAUUAUAAUUUUUUUGUUCAAAAUUUUUAAUUAUUACGAUUAAACCUUACGGUCCAAUUUAGUUGCAUGAAUACUGAUAUUUUAGUAAUGUAAUAGUGAUGUAAUACUUUACCAUCAUCGAUUACAAUAUUAUCAUAUUAAUAAUACUUUAUUAUUUAACAAAUUAAAUUAGACUAUAAAAUUUAACUAUAAUAGUUUAAAAUUUUUAAAUAAAAAUUAUAAUAAAUUAAAUUUUGGUGACUAAAUUAAAUAUCCCACUUUCCCUUUUGCUUAGCUGUAUUCGCAAGGGGAGAAUAUCUUGUAGUUGUAGCCAAAGCUGGCUACAGUUGGCACGUGCGAGGAGCGUAGCAGUCGAAAUAUUCUCUCACGAGUAAAUUGUGAGCAGUUCUUGGCCAAUAUGAAAUUUGCAUUUAAGUUGUUUUAGACAAAUAAAAUUAUUUUUAUAUAUUAUUAAUGUAUUGAUCGAUACAUUUAUUUUUGUAUUAUUUUUGAAUAUAGCAUAGAACAAAGUUAUUUGGGCCUCCUAAAACAUAAAUUUUAUAAUAAUUUUAUAAUAUUAUUUGUUUAGUGAUCAAGUAAGUUUAUAUUUAUUUUAUUUUAGCCAUUAAGAAGUGAUCAAUUUUGAAACAACCUAGACUAGUAAGCAAAUACUGUCCAAAGAGUUAUUAAUUUUGAUUUAUAGAAAGCUAAAAUAGUCAAAACUAUAUUUAACAAUGUCUAUAACCAAUGCGAAAGUAAUUGAACAAUCUUAUUUAUUUCUUAGAAAUAUUCUAACUUUAUUUAAAGGCAUUGCUAUUCAUUAAUUGCAUGAUUAUAACCACGGAACCCAUGCACUUGGAUUUGCUGGUGUGUUCUGUUAGAAACUUUAUAAGAAUUCGGAUUGUACCUUCUGCCAUGAUUUCGAAGCGGCGAUCCUUAUUCGUGGUUCGUCCUCGUUCGUGAUCUGCAAGAAGACGGGACGUUUCGAGUCUAAUUCCCUUAUCCCCGGAGAUGGAGCCGUCACAGACAAUUGGNAUCAUGAAUAAACAAACGAGUAGAACAGAAAUUAUAUAUAACAAAUACUAAAAGUUAUACAUAACUUUAAUAUAUAGACUUCCUCUAAAAUAAGUCACAUUGCAAAGAAAAUUAUUAACCAAAACAAUAAUACAUAUAUAUCUCUAUAAUCUUUUCAUUAAAAAUAAAUAAAUAAAUAAAUUUUAUUGUGUCAAUGUUUGAUCACCACCCAAGCAGCUCCUAAUGGGGCUGAUCCGUACGGCCUCAAUGAUUUUUUUUUUUUUUUUUUUUGGUUUGACUGCCACCUAGGCAGCCCCAUUACGGGCUGCCUAGUACGACCCUAAUGGGUCAUACGGCUAGGUUUUUUUUUUUUUUAAUCGCUUCUUGAUCGCUCAAUGCGAUCGGGCCGGUAACGCUGUUCUUCUGAACGCCGAUCUCAAUUGAGAUCGGCCGACAUUACCGUUUACACAAACCAUCGACGAAUUUAUUUAUUUAUUUUUUUUUAAUGAAAAGAAAACCAAACGAAAUCCGGAAAGAAACGAAAAUCCGGCAAAAGGUUUUGGCUCUGAUACCACAUGUUAGAAACUUUAUAAGAAUUCGGAUCGUACCUUCUACCAUGAUUUCGAUUUCUGUACCCGAUUUGUAAGCGGCGAUCCUUGUUCGUGGUUCGUCCUCGUUCGUGAUCUGCAAGAAGACGGGACGUUUCGAGUCUAAUUCCCUUAUCCCCGGAGAUGGAGCCGUCACAGACAAUUGGAUUAGGGUUAGACUGGGACUCCCAUAUGUUAUAUAUUUAUAUAUAACUUAAUGUAAAGAUGUUAAAUCACGUCCGUCCAUCAAGGACGUGUCCAGAUACAUUAUAACCGUAAGAUCUAAAAUAUCUUUAUAAAUCGACUUAAAUAGAUUGACCGUAUCUUUAUGGAUCGCCUUGAAUAUAUCACGUGGGUCACAUCCAACAUGUUCUUCUAGAACUAUUUAGUUUAAUGACCAACAGUUUUUAAUUAGAUUGUUUCGACUACGUACAAUAAAUGAUGACUCAAAAAGGAAAUGAUGAUACUAAUGUGAGAUAUAAGUUACACUAUGUUUUAUUGGUUUAGAUUUUUUUUUAAAAAAAUUAAAUCUUUUUAAACUUCUAUAGUUAUGAUUCAGAUUAUCAUUAUCUCUACGGUGUCCUGAUUUGUCCAUGAAUAAUGUUAAGAUAAUAAAAAAAAAAUGAAUACUAUUACCCGGUGGGGACCACUCAACCUUAGGGAUACUACUCAACCCUGGAGAGACUGCAAUCAUCUUAACCGUAUAAUUUUUGAUCUAAUAAUUAAAAAGUUGAAAGUGUCAGAUUCUCUAUACUUCCGAUAGCAUAAUAGUUUUACACGUAUAAUAUUAUAUAAUUUAAAUUGAACGAAUUUUAUUAAAUAUACCAUAAUUUUCUAUUUAGGCGUGUUUAAGUGGGGCAGAACUUUAUAGCACAAUCAAGACCUUUAUAUACAAAAUUCUACUUACCACUUCCUAAACAGGAUGACGUACCAUAUUGUGAGGCCAAUUAGUCAAUUAUUGUGUCUCUUGAGAAAAGAGGGACUUUAGAGAACAGUUCAUCCAGCAAAUUAAGUUUAGAACAUGUUUGGUACAUUUAGAACAUGUUAGAUUAUUAUAUUUGAAUGAAAAAUAGAAUGGCGAAUCAUCCAAUUAUGCUGGAAUGAUUAAUUGAAUAUUUAGAAUUUUGAAAAAAAAUUUUGAUUAAGAAAAAUGAGAGUAAUAAAAAGAGAGGAGGGAAGCGUUUGUAAGAGAGUUUUGAAUAUUUAGCCUAGAAAGAAUUAAAUUCAAAAUUUAAAAUCUAAUUAGAUUUUUUCUAUUUUAAAGUAAAAUAACAAUUCAAAUUCGACUUCUGUAAAACAAAUAAGAAUUAUCAAAAUUAGUAAAUUUUAUCCAAAUUUUAGACUUUUAAAUAGUUGCGCUAAGCAAGUCCUUAUAUAAAAGCUUUAGCUUCAAGUGAAUUAAAAUGUAAACUAUGGAUGAGAUUUUGAACCACAGAGCAGUUGAGUAGAUAGACAACUUUAUUACUUUCUCUUUUUUGUGCACUCUUUACCUAAUCCGGAUUUAUUUAUGGAAUUAACUGGUCUCAAGAAGUUUAGUUUGUACUUUGUAGCAACCAAACAUAAAGAAACUAAAAAUUAAUUUAUCUCAAACAAAUUCUCAAACACCUUGCAUAUAUGCUCAAUAUGCAGGUGCCCAAGAGAGUCAUUUUCAAAAAAAGUUUCCUAUAAUCCAAAAGUGAUAGUUUCAUUUUAAAUUUGUUCCAAUUUUCAAAUUUAGUUCUCAAAAUUUUGCUAGUCUCCACUCUCCACUUAAAAGUAAUUGCAAAACACUACGCAACGUAAUGUAACCGGAAUUUAAUUUCAUCCAACGAAUGAAAGAAUUACACAAACUACUCUUUUACAAUAUACUCGCUAUAAAAUACUAUAAUAAUAGAUAUAAUCCAACAAAAAUAUUUCCUCCCCGUAUCCCCCCAAAUCCUACGCCAAGGUGGAGCACGUAGACGUUGACGGGUCAAACAGCGCGGGGACGAGAUACUUCCUCCCGUGGGCCCCAUUCGCGUUGUAGCUGGCCCCCGUGGUGGGGUCCACCAAGAGGUCCCCAGCGUAACCCGGGUACGCGCCCUUCCCGUACACCCCCGUACACGCCGUCGCGGCCUCUAACGGAGCCUCUGCGGGUCCCUGGUAGUACCCGUUACGGAACGGGUUCGUCACCGUCCCAGCCAACAUGCUCGCGAGGUUGAUCACCAUGCCGUCGAUGCCGACGUCGCCGUUAGGCGCCGUCAACGGGCCGUAGACGGGCUGGUGGAAGGGCCACGCGCACUGGCCCGGGCACUGGACCGCCGAGUUCCCGACCCAGAUGUACGCGAACCGGCCCGCUCUGGACCGGGGCGACGAGCCGUGGGACCCGCACCGGCUCAUGCAGAAGCCCUCGACCGCCACGUCAUCGGCGGUGAGGACCACGUUGAUGGCGCGCCGCGGAGCUCCGCGGCGCACGAGCUCGACGAGCUGCGGCUCGGCGAGCGAGCGCCCGAGCGAGCACGACUCGUCCAGGACCUGCGCCCCGAGGGUGAGCGCGGGGAACCUGGCCUUCGACUGGGCGUAGUACUUGGCCGUGGUUUUCCACCACGCGGCGACCGAGGGCUCCGGCUGAGGAGGGGCCGCUGAGGAGAGGGAGGAGACGAAGUCGGUGAGCGUAGCGCGCUGGGAGGCGGUGAACUUACCGUACCAGAUGAGGUUGAUGGAGAUGGGGCCCGAGAGGAGCGCGCCCUUGUGGUAGGUUAGGGCUAGGGGUUGCUCCUCCACCAGCGCGGUGAGCGUCCUCGCCCCAUCGGAGAAGCGGAAGAGAUCGAGAGAGGAGGAGGAGAACACGAAGAAGCAAAAGAGAAGGAGAGGGUACGAAGCCAUGUAGCGAGAGUAGAGGAAAGGGGACUCCGUUAUGAGUGAGUGGUGGGAAUGAAGAGUAUUUACCAGCGGUAGAGUUAUAUAUAUAGAUAGAGUGGGAGAGUAGGGCUGUGUUUUUUUUUUUUUUUUUUUUUGAGUUAUUUUGAAUUGAGAAGAAGCACGAGGACGAGUGACGAAGAAGAAAAGACAAAGGUACUGGGCCCCACAAAGAGGAGCUUUUGGUGGGCCCACAAAGAGGUCACGGCGCCCGGGCCAAUGAACGGUCACAUCACAGCUGGCUUUGCUUGUUGCUCGUCCAGCUACAGUGAAUUCCGGACCCUUCCUUUACGAAAAUACCCCUGCUUUUAUACAAGUGUAAGGAAGUGAAAUGCAAAAUUUUAUUUAUUUGUAUAUAUAAGAGCAUAUUGUACAAAUUGUAUUAUUUUGAUUAGGAUAUAAAUUUUGUGGUCUUAUCUAAAAAUUCUAAAGAUAUAAUAUUUUUAUAUUUAUUUCGAUUCUCAUACAACACAGUACAUAAGGAUGGGGAAUUGGGCUAGGGGUAUUUUGGGUACGAGGAGAAAAGGUGGUCCGCUUCUCGAGGGGCCAAUUAAAUGAGGGGAGAGAAAAUCCGAACGUUGGAAAAAUUCUAGAAUGCAACGGGUAUAUUAGUGACGUGGCGUAACAAACCAAUCAAAUUAAUCCUUUUAAGAAUAUAUGUCCCGUCAUGAUUGUAAAAAAGUAUUUUUAUUGUACUUUUGUUUGAAAAGAAGGAAUGUGAUUGGCUUGUUAUUGAUGACGUGGUACAAGUGUGACAGUGUAGAAUUCCUCCGAACGUUGGGGGGAGAGGGGCAGAAUGGGAAGACAGGCUGGAAAUUUUGAAAUCUGACGUGGAAAGUGUUGGCGGGGAGUGGGGAAAUGACAGCUGUGAUGGGGACCACCUCGGGUCGUGUUAGGUUUACGGAGGCGCGCGCGUAGGCGCCAGCUCGUUAAUGCAAUUUAUUGCCCGCACGCUGUGCGCCACGUCAUCCGUGCACCAGAGAGGCAACUACGUCGCUGGUCUCCUAAACUUUACCAAAAUUUUUUUUUUUAUAGAAAAAACUUCAAAAAACUCCCAGUAGUUUCGUAGAUUCUCACUUUGCCCCUCUGUGAUUUAAAAUAUAUCAAAUUGCCUUCCUGUGGUUUCAUUUUUAUUUUUUCGGUAGCUUUUUCGUUAAUAUUUCAUUAAAUUAUAUAUAAAAAGCUUCAGAUACCCAUCUAGAUUUAUCAAAUAUUCACUUUAGUACGCUUUAAUUUUAACUUUAUCACUGAUUUAAAAAAAAAUAAUGAAAUUGAUAAGAAAAAGAAAAAAAGGAAACCAUAGGGGAUAAAUUGAUACAUUUUAAACCACAGGGGGGCAAAGUGCGAAUCUACGAAAUCAUAGGAGGGUUUUUGAAGUUUUUCCUUUUUUUAUAUCUAGAUUCCUUAUUUUUUAUUUUAAAUUUUAAUUACUAUUUUUGUUACCAAAAUAUUAUUAAUUCUAAUGACGUUAUAAUUAUUUUAGCACUAAGUAAUAUACACAAAGUUAAUAUCACAUCGAUGUCAAAUCUUAACUAAGUUUGGUAUUUAUCAGAAUUAUGUAUUUAGUUUGAUUAAAAAUAUUAAUAGCAUUUUUAUAGCAUAAGAUUUUAUUUAAAUAAAUAAUACAAAAUAGAAAUCUAAAUGUAAUGUUUUAUUUUUUCUAUUUCAACAAUUCGAUAAAGAAUGAAAAGGUGAACCAAAAACAUUAUAAAAAAAAAAAAAGAAAAAACUUCAAAUACUCCCCAUGUGGUUUCAUUUUUUCUCACUUUAGUAUUAUAUGGUUUAAAGUGUAUCAAGUUAGUAUUUUAUGGUUUUACACUUUUUCACUUUAGUACCCUGUGAUUUUAAGUGUAUCAAUUUAGUACCCCUAGUUUCACACUUUCUCGCUUUAGUAUUCUGUGGUUUCACACUUUCUCACUUUAGUACACUUGGUUUAGAAACCACAGGGUACUAACUUAAUACAAAAAUAAAAUCGUAGGGUUGUAACUUGAUACAUUUUAAAUCAUAGAGUACUAAAGUGAGAAAGUGUGAAACCACAGGAUACUAACUUGAUGCACUUUAAAUUAUAGAGUACUAAAAUGAAAAAGUACAAAAUUAUAGGGGAUUUUUUUGAAGUUUUUCAAAAAAAAAAAAAAAGCCAAACUCAGUGGAUUGCUUUCCUGGUGCACCAGGUGCAAGAAAUAACUUUUCCAGCAGGGGUAGCUACACCUGGGAUCCCAUUCGUACGACCUCCACCUCACAUUCAACUCGUGAGGCAUAAUCGGGGCAUCGCUUUUGGUAGCUUUUCUCUUUAUUAUGGUACUACCAUGACUCAGAAAACGAAAAAAAGAGAAAAUUGUAAGAAUUGAAAGGAAAAAACUACACUCUAUAUUUGAAUUUUUUAAAGAAAAAACUUCAAAAAACCCCCCUGUGGUUUCGUGCAUUCUCACUUUGCUACCCUGUGGUUUAAAACGUAUCAAUUUACCCCCAUGUGGUUUCAUUUUUAUCUUUUCGGAAGCUUUUUCGUUAAUAUUUCGUUAAAUUAUAUACAAAAAACUUCAGAUAACCAUCUAUAUUUAUCGAAUAGUCACUUUAGUAUCCUUUAAUUUUAACUUUGUCACUGAUUUAAAAAAUAAUAAUAAUAAAAUUGAUAACAAAAAGAUAAAAACGAAACCACAUGGGGGCAAAUUGAUACGUUUUAAACCACAGGGUAGCAAAGUGAGAAUGCACGAAACCACAGGGGGGGUUUGUGAAGUUUUCCCUUUUUUAAAUUAUCAUAUUUUUUUCUACAAUUUAAUUUGAGAGACUGAAUAUUUCAUAUUUUGUUGACGCAAUAAUAAUAUAAUAUCUUAAUAAUUAAAACAUUAUUUAUUAUAACACUGCCACAUUACUAUCAAAUUAGAAAUAUAUCAUUGUUUAACUAAUUAUUAAAUUGAUCUGUCAGAGUUAAUUAUAAUAAUUUUAAAAAAUUGAGUCAAAAAUUAAAUUAAAUUUUGAAGAUCAAAAUUUCAUGCUCCCCAUAUUUUGAGGACCGAGAGUAUUAUUUAGCCUAAUUAAAAGUUAGAACACUUUGACUGAUGGAUUAUAAGGUUGGAUAUUUAGUUCACUCAAUGACAAUUUGGGGGACUAUUUACAUAACCACAAGUUUGACUAGUUUCAUAACUUUUUCACAUCUGUUACUCUUUUGUGGAGAAUGAUGCAAUGACGAAUAUUUUUGGGUACCUAAGUUGAAAUUUGUGGAUCUGAUCACGAAACCCUCUCUAUAUUAAUCGCAGAUUAUAUUUUUUAAAAAAUGUUAAGGCUAGAUUUUGCAUUUUCUAAAAGAAGGUGUAGAGAAUCAAACUCUGAUCUCUUAAUUGAAGAUUCAGAAUACCCCGAACUUAAUCAUCAUCUAAGUAGCUUACUAGAAUUAAUACAGUGGUUAUGUGGGGUAUGAGUUCACUUCAGUGAAAAUCUCCCUAUGCGAUAAGGAUAGAGUGGGAGCAAAUUUUGUUUAUAAAAUGUCCGAAAAAAAAAGAAAAAUCAUCGCAAUCAAAGGGCAUCCAAAUUUAAACCUACCUAAACUGAAUCUCACAUCUAGCUUAAUUUUAACACUAAAAUAAACAACUGUCUAGAGCUAAGAUGCGCGAUUUUCUUAAUUAUACUCUCUCACUGCACUCUAUGUCUAGUAGUGUUGGAAAAUAAAUGAAAGGGUUCAAUUAUUAAUUAGGGUCUUAAAAUAAUCUUGUUGUUAAUUAAGCACUAGCGAAGCAGGGAUUAGCUCGAAAAAAAUGUUUUCACUGGAGUGGGAGCAAAUUGAAGUUGAAUUAACACCACUUGAAAUUUUUUAAUAAGCACUAAUUGAUCAUGAUAAUGGGUGUCAAAACAAUGUUGAAAACAUUGUUAGAUUCUUGAUGUUGGCUGGUUCUUGAAUAAAGAUAUUAAUCAGACAAAAGGAUGGCAUUAGGUACUUCAAUAAUUGUACUAUUACUGUAGCUCAUUAUUGUUCUUAAUUAUUUAGCAUAAAAAAGAAAGCACAUUUUUUUGAUGCAACCAAUGCAUUUCCUCUCAAGAAUGCUCGGUAAAAUUGUUUGUGCACUCUUCCCUUGUUUCAUAAAUUUACUGUUGUUUGAUAACAAAUUAGUUUCGCAGAUCAUGAUAUUAAUUUAGCGUUGCAGAACUCAAAGAUUAAGAGCAAAAUUAACUUUAAUACUAUGCUAUCUAAAAACAUCAGUCCGGUAAAAAAUAUUUUAGAAACAUGUUUAACAUGUUUAUUUCAGAUUCACUUAAUGCCAACAAAUGCAAAGAAAUUCACGAGUUACAAUUGAACAAAGUUUAAAGAUUUUAGAAAUCUAUCAAAACAAAUUGAAACUACUUGUUGUAAUUAUUUGGUCCACGAUAUGAUUUCUUGAGUUAUUGACAUUUUUAAAAAAUUGGACCAAUAAUAGUUGAAGAAAGUAAAAUUUCAAGUAUCUGAUCAAAUUAUUUCAAGAGGCGGAAUGUAAUACCUGUGUGACAACAUAUCCUGCCGUCUCAAACAAAUAGUUUAAGAAAUUCUUCUCACAUAAUUUUUGUCCUAAAUCCUUGGGCCAGGGGAGCAAGAACACGUCCAGCAGGGACGGCUACGAUAUUUGAGAACAAAUCUAAAUCUUUAGCGUUAUUUGCAGAAAAGGAUCUGCAACCCUUCUCAAAACUGCGCCACCCCACGUUCUUAUUCUAUCUAUCCUUUUUUUAGUAGUCUCUGAUACCAACCCAGGAGUGUUCUUUUGCUAAUCCUACUUAGCAAGCUUAUUGUUGUGUGGGUGCGAGAAAAUUAGCAUCUUAAUUAACUUAGUCCAACCACAACCCAAUCUCCUCACAUACCAAUAAUGGAGAAGUGCGAAGAGGAGAUAAACCUGUGUCCACUGUUGUUUUUGUCACUCUGAUGUAUAUAUAGAUCAUAAUAGGUUGUUUUUUUUAAUUCAUUAUUAAAGCCAUCUCUUUUUGAAAAAAAAUAAAUUAAUAAGAAGAGCGAUAUUUUGUAUCAAUAAAUAAAAAUGUCGAUGUAAAACCAACCUCGAUUCCAUCUCUAAGGUAAUUCUCACGCCAAUCUUAAAGUAAGAAAGAAAAAAGAUAUUACUAAUAUAAAUUAGUUUCACUCACUUAUCUAGAAGGUUAAAUAGGUUAAAUUACUGCUCUCUCUCUCUCUCUCUCUCUCUCUCUCUCUGGGNUUUUUUUUUUUUUUUUUUUUUUUUUUUCUUUUUGAGCUAAUAACUAAUCAAAUGUAACUAAAAUUACAGCGACAAUUCAAUGUACUGUAAGAAUUAAAGACCCCUGAAUUUGAAUCUUUUGGGCCAUCACUCAAUUAUAGAUCUCAAAAGUGUUACAUAUAUUACAGCUACACUAUUUUCCAGCUCAUGAGAACCUUCCUCUGUCACGUGCAAUCGAGAAUGAUACUACUCCAUUAAUGGUCGGCGCUAAUGCACCCUUUGACUUGAAAAUAUAUUUAUUGAGGCUUACGCAGGAACCAAGCAAGCAACAUACAUGAUCCAGCUGCCUCUUCUUAGUGUCCCUUAUCAACAAUAUAAUAAUAAAAAACAAAGGAAACUUGUAGGAAGCUCCCAGUACUGCAAUUAAGCCGCUUACCUGCUCACUGUUGCCCUAUAAAUAUAGGCCCUUCAUUUUACUCCAACACAUCAAUAUCCUCACAGCAAGCUCUCUCUCUCUCUCUCUCACUCACUUGCUCCUCCUCUUUUGCUCUCAAAUGGGUUCUUUUACUGCAGCAACAUCAAACCUUUUGCUAUUAGCAGUAGUGAUUUUUAGCCUAGUUCACUUAUCAACGGGGUCUAGUAGGAAACUGAGUGCUUUAGUAGAACCACAGCCCAAUCUCCUCACGUACCACAACGGCCAAGUGCUCCGAGGAGAUAUCCCUGUCUCCAUCUUAUGGUACGGUCAAUUUACUCCCACCCAAAAAUCCAUCAUCUCCGAUUUUCUCCUCUCCCUCACCUCCACCACUCAGUCCUCGCCGAACCCUUCUGUGUCCCAGUGGUGGAGCUCCAUAGAACAGCUUUACUUGUCGAAGGCCGGGAAAAGUGGAGGCCCAACAACGGCCCAUGUCGUGUUAGCAAGCCAAGUCUCGGAUGAGGGGUGCUCUUUGGGGAAGUCCCUUACGAUGGGCCAAAUUUCGGAGCUCGCCGCGAAGGCCCAGCCCAAGAAGGGAGGAGUUGGGCUGGUUUUCACGGCCCAGGACGUGGCGGUCGAGGGGUUCUGCAUGAGCCGGUGUGGGCUCCACGGCUCGGACCCGAGAACCGGGUCGGCGUACGUCUGGGUCGGGAACUCGGCGACCCAGUGCCCGGGCCAGUGCGCGUGGCCCUUCCACCAGCCCACCUACGGCCCACAGACCCCGCCGCUAACGGCGCCUAACGGCGACGUCGGCGUCGACGGCAUGGUGAUCAACCUCGCGAGCAUGUUGGCCGGGGCCGUUACGAAUCCGUUCGGGGACGGGUUCUUCCAGGGGCCCAAGGAGGCGCCGUUAGAGGCCGCGACGGCGUGCGCGGGUGUUUAUGGGAAAGGGGCGUAUCCGGGGUACGCUGGGGACCUGCAGGUGGAACCCACCACGGGUGCGAGCUACAACGGCAAUGGGGCCCACGGGAGGAAGUACCUGCUCCCCGCGCUGUUUGACCCGUCCACGUCCACUUGCUCCACGCUGGUGUGACAACCGUGCAUGUGUGGGAUUUAUACAUGUCGUAUGGAUGUGUAUCUAUCUAUGUGUUAGAACCGUUCGAUUCUUUGAUUCUUUUAUAUUGUUGUUGUACUAUUAAUAAUAUAUAAAUGGAGCUAAAAUUUUUUUUUGAUAGAAGCUACAACUUGAUAUUUAUAUAUAUAUAUAUAUGGGACUACAUAUAUCAGUGGUGUUUAAACACUUUGGCCCUCUCGUUGUGGCCUCCUCUCGCACAAAGGCCUGGGCUUGCACAAUAUAUAGGCCUAAAACUAAACUCGCAACAAGCUUGUUCGGUCAUGAACCUGGCCCAGUUGAGAAUUUUACAAAGCUAGUGAAGUCAUAGCCACGUGCGAAAAGAUUUGAGUUCCUACAAUCACAGAUUCGAUACAAAAGAUAUCUUUCGACAACUAACUAUAUCUAGCACAAUCAGUUAAGAGUUAAUUGGAUAGUUAAUAUCUAAGAUUCCAAAUUCUAAAAUUAAUUGUUUUACAAUUUUAGCCAAAUUUGUUUCUAAAAAAUCAACGAAAUAAAUAGCAAACUAUUUUUUUUCUAAAAAAUAAGACUGCUCAUGAUCCCUAUGUACUUGGUUCGAUAAUGAGGAUACUUUGAAAGAGUUAAUGUUUAAUAUGUUUGAGUUGAACAAAUUGAAGUUCUCAUGAAUCAAGCCCUUCUGGUUAAAUGGCGGUGGAAAUUCCACAUAGCUCCCCAGUUACAAUGGAAUCAGCUAGUCAGAGACCUGUACUACCGACGGCAUACUCCUUUGAGGGAAGGUAAAACUUUCAGACCCUACUCUAGCUGGUGGACGGGGGUGCUGAGCCUUAACUAUAUCUUUUCUUGGGGAAUGGCCUACAACCUAGGCAACAGGCGGGCUAUUGAUUUUUGGCACGAUCGGUGGUGUGGGGACAAUUUGAUGUUUCUUUUGUUUCCGACGGCCUACCUUAUGUCUGGGGGGAAAAAUUUGAAAGUCGGCGACUGUUUUACGAGGGGAAGGUGGAACUGGUCUUUGAUUGAGGGUGGCGCUGCGAGUCAGAGCCGAGGGACGAGGGCCAGUUUCGGGGAGUUAGAGGAACGAAUCUCUCAGCUCUCAGUUCGACCCACACCGGACAGGUUACUUUGGCGAUGGAGUGCAGAUGAACUAUUCACGGUAAAAUAAACCUAUAUGGCGUUGACGGAUGGGGGUACGAGGGACGCUCGAGCUUCUCGUGUUUGGAGACUCAAAAUCCCUUUAAAGGUAAAAGUGUUAUGUUGGCUGGUCCUUAAGAAGAGAACUCCUACGAGGGACAAGCUCUUCAAGAGAGGGUUGAUUCAAGACCCAACCUGUGUACUUUGCGGGUCGGAAGAUGAAACUGUGGAUCACAUGUUUUCCCAGUGCGUUUUUACCAUGUUUUUAUUAGUAAUGGGGGUAGUGGGCGUGCAAACACAAGACCUGGGGGAUGAGGUGAACCUAGUCUGGGACAGAUGGUUUGUCAGGAAGAGCCUACACACGAAGAGAAACAGUCUCACUGAGUUAGUUUGCUGCUGGUGGAUCGCUUGGAAAGCCAGAAAUGAUUUCAUCUUUAGGAAAAUCCAGCCGAAUCCAGAAAUGGCGAUCCGCUACCUAAAUCAGUUGGUGAAGGAGUGGGAUUCACUGCUCUCAGCUGCCGUUACGUGAUCUCUACCUGUACUUCUUUUUCUUUUUUUUUAGGGGCCCGAGUUGUCCCACUCUUAUAGCCUAGUUCAUCUUCCCAUUGAAUGAAGCGGGUAGCAUGCUACCUUUGUCUAAAAAAAAAAACAAAUUGAAGUUCUACGAUCAACCGUGUAACUCGUGACUUCUACAUUUCUAACGAAGAUAGAUUCUGCAUUGUAUGAUUUGCUCUGGCGUUUAUAUUCACUCCACACAACACUUCUAAUAAAACUCAGAUUACAAACAAUACGGAUCCUUCUUCUGCGCAAUAUCUAGGAGACUAACAAAUGAAAAAUAAACAAAAAUCACACACCGUCCGUUUAUCAUCUACUACCCUUUUAAAGCUGUCAAUUCCCUCUACCCUCCAAAGUAUGCUUAUAAUAAUAAUAAUUUACUUGGAUUCACCGCCACGAUCAAAAUAAAUAAAAAAUGCCAAUGUACAUGCAUCUGCUUCAUAUUGGAAUCGUACCGGUGUAAGUGAAGAUCUUGCAAAAUGUAGCUGCUCCCCUGUGCCCCUCUCUGCGAGACCACAUUGGAGACAUAUGUAUGGUGCACACCAUAAUAUGCACACAUGGCGCUCAGAUUCCGAGGCUUUAGUACACUACCAAACAUGAACUAAAUCUAACACCAGCACGGCCACAAUUGUUUUAGCUUAUUAUUUUUAUCUGAUGUUGAUGUGGUAAUCGUAAGCGCUAACCAACUAUUCCAAACACACCUGUUGAUAAGAAAGGUUCACCAAUCGCAUUUAAGGGCUCAGUCACAACGCUCGUGAAUUUCAACCUGACUCAAUAUUUCUGAAUGUUGGGUCUAUUAUUAGAUCUCUUACUGUUAGACCUCUUGUGGUUCGCAUCUUCAUUCAACUUAUUAGACUUAUCCAACUCAAGUUAUUAGUUUUUUGAGUCUAUUGUCACAGGACAAGAUAUUAAUUCUAUUUUAGUCCAAUAAUAAAUAGCCAACAAUAACGUGCAUAUUGUGAAUGCAUUUGAGAUGUUUUAUACAUCUUGUUUGACAUUCCACAUAAAUUGAUCAAUUAAGUAGCUAUUAGAAUAUUAAAAUUUUGAUGUAUUGGUAUUAUAUUGAAUACGCCCAUCUAAGAUGCACGCUGCACUGUACAGUACGGUCUCUGUUUCUUGGAUUUGGGCAUUCGGGAUGGACACUGGACAUGGGCAAAGGGAAGUGUUUCCCACAUCCCGUGAAUAUGGUGGCGUUAUGAGUUGUGUUCACACAAAUGGGGUCAGGUACAGAGUUUUAGCACGUGGGAACCAUCACCCAACACGUGAUGGCCCAUUGCUUGUUAUUGUGUGUCGACUUUCACUGUAGCUGCAGCAGUACCCACGCGUGAAGUCCCCAAAUCCCAAUCUAAGCUUUUAUUUUUGGCAACAUGUGUGGAUAGUCCAUUUAACAUCAGAUAUUAAAAUUCAUUUAUUAAAUUUUUUUGGGAAAACUUCAAAAACCCCCCAUGUGGUUUCGUGCAUUCUCACUUUGCUACCCUGUGGUUUAAAACGUAUCAAUUUGCCCCCCUGUGGUUUCGUUUUUAUCUUUUUGUUAUCAAUUUUAUUAUUAUUUUUUUUUUAAAUCAGUGACAAAGUUAAAAUUAAAGGAUACUAAAGUGACUAUUUGAUAAAUAUAGAUGGUUAUCUGAAGUUUUUUGUAUAUAAUUUAACGAAAUAUUAACGAAAAAGCUUCCGAAAAGAUAAAAAUGAAAUCACAGGGGGGUAAAUUGAUACGUUUUAAACCACAGGGUAGCAAAGUGAGAAUGCACGAAACCACAGGGGGGGUUUUUGAAGUUUUCCCAAUUUUUUUUCGCUUAAAAAAAUUUUUUUUUUUUUGUUUCUAAUUUGUACGUGCAUUGCAUUGGAGGCUGGUUUUCUAUAGCCUUGUGCGCAAACAAAGUUCUUACAUAUUUUAGUUAAUUUAUUUUAUUCGUAAAGUAUAUUAAAUAUAUCUGUAAAGAUAAAGACGUUGAUCAAUUCGAAUUAAACAAAUUAAUAUUUUGAAAGAAUAAUAAAUAGCGAACUCAAAAUGAUCCAUAGUACACGUAAUACUCGCUUAUUUUAGUCAAGUACACACUUUAACAAACAUUGUUCAGUAGCACGAGGACUAUACAUUCAAUUUAUUCGUUAUUUCAUGAAGAAGGGAUUGCAUGUUCUACUUUUCUUUCUCCUUAUUUUUUUUAAAAAAUAUUUUAUGAGAAGUGAGAAUCGAUCCCCUGGUCCAUUAUGCAUCUUUAUGUGAACAUUCAUUAUUUUUGAAGCUCAAUUAAUUGAUCUCUAUCGACUCAUUUUCCUAUGCCUCCCGGUUCAUGCACCCGUGCUCGCAGUUGCAGUGGCAGUCGAUUCUCAGAAGCGCUUCUUCUUAACUUUGGAAAAUUACUUCUCGGAAUAGCUGAUUAAUUGCUUCCCUGUCUGAUUGCUUCACGAGUCUCCCGUACGUACCUAGAUUAUGAAGCCUUAUUCAUGUUCGAAUUAUUUUUUAAUUCCUCAAAUCCUAAUAAACCUACAAGUUUGGUUUUACUCGAAAAUGUUAAUUUAAGAUAAAAAAAUAUAUAUAUAAUUCGCGAUCUACGAAUUUGAUCUUGUUAUGUAACUUGCAUUUGUUUCGCACACUAGUACCAGUUCAGUACUCGUAUAUUUAUGUGUUUGCACUAGGCUUAUGCCAUACUAGUAGUGUGUCAAGCAAGUGGCAGAAAUAAAUAAAAAAAUAAUAUUUUUUAUCAGCGGCUAUGUAACUGUAGUAAUUAUCACAUUUGUUUAUUUACUUUACCAUAAAUUUUUGGAUUUGCAUGUAAAGAGAUAAAAAUAUUUAUAAUAAUUAAUUUUCAUUCUUUUUUAUCUUUUUUUCUUCUGUGCUAGACUUGGAAUAAAUUAAUUACAACGUUAUGAAAAAAAAAAAGAAAAGUUACCCACGGCAAAUCAAAACUGUAGAACUAAACAUUUGCGAUAAGAAAAAAGUUUUUUACUUUCUCUACUUUGAAAAAUAAACAUGCCUGAAGUGGCAUGGUUAAUGCUAUCCAAAUGGAUCCUGACACUGUUGUUUAGCUAAAACGUGCACGACAAUUUUCUUUCUUUAAUUUAUUAUUUAUAUUUUUAUUGUGACUUAUUUUUCAUGCCAUAAUUAAGAUUUUUAUUUUUUGUUUUUUUUUUAGAGAUAAGUAGAACGCUACCCGCUUCGUUUAUUUCAUUUAGAAAUAAACUUAGCUGAAAAUAUAAAUCAACUAGGAUUCGAACUUAAAACCUCAUAUACUGAUCAUAAUUAAGGUUCUCACUCCCCAACAAAGCGUAGCUACGAGACACUGCCCUGUGAUCUGGCUUGGGCCCUGCUCUUUAUCUUUCCUCCAUUUUUGAGUUCCAUAGGUUAGGCCACAACCUACUAAUAAAGCUUUUAUAUAUAUAUAUUGCAAUUUGCAAACAGUGGCAGUUAAGUCACGGAUCCAUUAGGAGAAAAUUACAAACGGUUCCUCGUCACAUGCAGGAUCGACCAUUUUCAUAAUGUUUUUAUAAAUCAAUGCAUAAAUAAAUUUCCCACAUUUCUCAACUUCUCAUAGAACCCAAUUCAUCUCCAAAAAUGUCUGAUAUUGUGUCGCAAUUAUUUGUCACGCUCUUACUAAUAGGCUCAAGAUAUGAAUUUAAAUAAAAAAUUAUUUAUUUUUUUUGCUAUGAUGCUAUACGAAAUAAGAUACAAUUAUUAUUGUUUUCUAAAAAUUUAAAUUAUUAACUAGCAGUAUUUUAAUAUUAUGUUCAACAUUUAAGGAAGGUUUUAAUGGUGAAUACCCAAUUCUACAUCCCUAAAAAAGGAGAAAAAUAAAAUAAAAAAUAAAAAAGAGUUGUUAGAAUCGUUUUUCAAAAGUAAAAUAAAAAAGAAAAUGUAGCAACCAAUGAAAAAUGGACACAUGUAUUGGAAAUUACUAGAGCUUUUGCACUACACGGCCCACCGCCGCUAAUUUUUAUUUGAAGAGAUUCGGUUUUGCUACUUUAAUUGUAGGAGUUGUUGCAUUAAUUAAGAACUUAAUCUCAUCAUAUAAGUUUUAAUGCUAAUCCUCUGUGCUUUGUCGAGUUUACCAAUAAAUAUUUUUAAAAUUUGUGCUAAACUAUUUCUAAAUAGAAAAUUGAAACUAUAACAAAGAUAUAAAAGUUAUCUAAAAUAGUAUUGUGGUGUUAAAAUAUAUAUUCACUAGUAAUAAAAAUUUCAACCUGGGUUUCAAAUAUUUCAAUGGAUAGAAACUCUGAUGAGCAUUGUUUUAUUUGUUGUUCUUAUGUUUUCUUUUUUUUUUUUUUAAAAAAAAUGCUCUAAUAAUUGGAGACCAAAGGAACAUUGAUGACGAAUUGACCUAACAAUUUUGCAUGCCUAGCAUAAUGCCACAAGGUUAUUCUUUGGGUCCCGCACUAAGAGUCAAUUAUGCACUGCACAAAUUUAUACAAUAUAUUAAAUUAUAUGUUUAAACCAAUUCACUUAAAAAUAAAUAGAUACAACGCUUACCGAUUUUUGAACUCGUGAUCUCUCACUCUAAUACUAUUUGCCGAAUCGUUGGCGCUAGCCACUACUAAAAACUCGAACCGCUAGAAAAGAACAAUCAAUUCACUUAAUGCGAACAUACACAACAGCCGACGAGUCUUAAUUGUGACUCGGUUCAAUCCGAUCUCCGCCACGUGAUAGGACGCUGACCCUGACCCUUUUAAGUCAAUAUUCGUCAAUUAUAUAUGCUAAAACAUGCAUCCAGUACCUAUAAAAAAAACAGGAGAUGUAUAUUAGUUCUUAGAUAAAAAGUCUUAAUAGAGUUUCUAAACUUGAAUUUACUUCAAUUAAUGUCUUCUUUUAAAUGGCAUGGUGGUUCCUUACACCAAUCCAUUAAUCUGGAUUGCAUAACAAGCUUGCCUAAUAUUCCUAUUAUUUUCUUGCUUUUACUGGAUGAGACCACCAUGUGUAACUACACUCAAAGCAUGCAUCAAGUUCUUUGGUCCUGACCAUCUUAUCUUUAGUUUGGUAAUCAUUAUGGCCACAGCUUCAUUAUCAUACUUUCCUUUAGAAAUUUGGGAUCUACAAGAUAAUUUAAUACUCUAAGCAACACAUUACUCAUACCGAAUUGUAUUCUUCUUUGUAAUCAAUUAUCGACCGAGUCUGUAAUAUAUGUUAUCCAGAAAGAUCGAUGUGAUACUGGUUGAAUUUGAAAACUUUUAUAAUAGAGAGAGUUUGAAAUUAUUAUGAUGUCAUUUUAUCGAAAAGACAUUUAAUAAAGAGUAGUUUAGAAAUAGUUUUGAUAUAUGAUACAUGCAUUGUCAAAUUAGACCUCACUCAAAGUUCCAUCCUGCUUGGGCCAAACCCAACAAAAUUUAAAGCUGCUUUUUCCCCUCUAAAACAGAGCCUUUAGCUCGUGGUUCUCUCUGCCCAAUGCUCUGUUUACUUAUUUUUAAUUCACAAAUUUAAAGCUUAAUUUCUCAAACUCCCCACUAAUCCAUAUAACUAUUCACAUGCGUUGCCACAGGAAACACCUAGGAACCCUCACUCAACACAUGCACCCCAUCCCCUUUCUCGCAUUUAUCUAUCUAUUUCCUUUGAGCCGCACCCAAAUACACUAGCAGAGAAUAAUAUCUAUGCGAGUUAUUCCAAAGCAUAAAUUAACAAAACAAAGAAUCCGUAACAUAAAUUAACCUUUAAAAAAGAAAAAAAAAAGAAAAAAAAGCCCACAAGGGGGAAAUAAAUGCUUGCCACGUGUCACAUCUCCUACUCUAAUGGUCCAUCAUCAUUAAUCAUUAAUCUACUUAAAAAAUUGAAGCAGUGUUUCUCACAAUACACGUUUCCCUUUAAUUUUUUUAUUUUUUUGCCUUAUUCAUGCACCAUUUCCACAAUUCCGCCUAUAUAUAUAUCCCCCUCUCCUCAAUCCAAUCUCAUCACCUCAUCUAAAAGCUCUAAAAAGGAAAAAGCUCUUUCCCUAUAAUGUCACACAUCUCUGAAACAAAGGCCACUUGUAGUUUCCUUCUUAUUUUUCUUGUGGGCUUCGUAGAUUUUUGCUAUGGCUCUAGAAAACUAAGUUCUCUAUACCAACCACCCCCCACUCUCCUCGCAUACCACAAGGGUGCUUUACUCCAAGGAGAAAUCCCCAUCUCUAUACUGUGGUAUGGUAAGUUCACCCCUGCACAAAAAUCCAUCAUCUCCGAUUUCAUUCUCUCACUAUCUAGUCCCUCCUCAACUCCAAUUACACCCUCCGUUUCCAAAUGGUGGAGCAACGUAGACAACCUAGUACAAAAAGCGGGUAAAAACAAGACCCACAUCACCCUUGCUCACCAAGCAUCCGACGAGCACUGUUCCAUUGGGAAAUUGCUCAAGAGGACACAGCUACUCGAACUGGCCCGCAGAACCGGUUCGGCGAAGGCCGGGGUGGCGCUGGUCCUCACCGCGGCCGACGUCGCGGUGGAGGGCUUCUGCAUGAACUCGUGCGGCUCCCACGGUGCGGUCGGUAGCGACGGUGCGGCAUCGGCGGCGUACGUGUGGGUCGGAAAUUCUAUGGCGCAGUGCCCGGGGCAGUGCGCGUGGCCGUUCCACCAGCCGGUGUACGGGCCGCAGAGCCUGCCGCUCGUCGCCCCGAAUGGCGAUGUCGGCGCCGACGGCAUGGUGAUCAAUCUCGCCGGCCUGCUGGCGGGGGCCAUCACGAACCCCUUCGGUAGCGGCUACUUCGUGGGGGACGCAUUGGCGCCCGUGGAGGUGGCGGCGGUGUGCGCGGGGGUUUACGGGAAAGGGGCGUAUCCGGGCUACGCCGGGGAACUUCCGGUGGACUCGGCAACGGGGGGGAGUUACAACGUGGAGGGAGUGAACGGGAGGAAGUUUCUGGUUCCCGCCAUGUUCGAUCCUCUCACUUCUACGUGCUCUCCUGUUGUGUGAAGUGGAGUGAGGUGAUUGAUGGCCCUUUUUGUAAAUUGAUGACGCAUAUGUGAAUAACAACGAUGUUGUAAUAAAAUUUAUGAUUGGUGGUGGAGUUUUCAAAAAAUUGGUGAAUAUUUCUCCAUGUUUUUCAUUACUAUAUAUAAAGUAAGGUUUUCAUUACUAUAUAUAAAGUAAGGGAUAAUUUACCAAUUUAUUGGGUGAUUCAAAUAAUUUAGAAAAAAAAAAAGAAAAAUUCUCUGACAGGCCCAGUGUGUAAUGGAUCGUAGCUAAUAAAAGGCCGAGCCAAUACGUAUAUAGGCCCCCAAUUUCUCCCACUCCAAUAGCCCAAUUCCUCAGCAAUUCUCCAUCCCCUAUUUCCCUCCUCUUCCUCUCCCUCUCCCCUCUCUUUCUCUCUCUAUUGGUAUUUUUCUCUCUCUAGAUCAUAUGGGAUUUGGGGCUUCGAUCUCUCUCUCAUGAUCUCUUGUUCUCUCUAGAUCGUGUGGGAUUUGAGGCUUCGAAUGGUGUAUGCAUCGCCGCAAUGCCCCACUCGGCCUUCGACGAAGCUCUUUGGCGAUUGCUACGGCCAAUCAAUUGCUCAGAAUCCUAAUCUAGGUAUUUUCCUCUUACUUCGCCCUCAUGAUUUCGGUUUUCCCCAGAUCAUCGAAGCCCUCAUGCGAUUGAUGCUUUGUGUUGUUGGAUUCAUUUGUUUGAGUGCGCAAAAGCUAUCGAAGAGUUCUUGAUAUUUAGAUUUUAGCUCUUAAUUGAAAGCUACAAAAUCAACAAUUACAAAAUUAGGCCAUAGAUGUACUGAUGUGUUGUACAUGGAACUUAGUUGUUUUUGUGUGGUUGUGAACGAGAUGCAAACGACAUCGCAGUUUAUGUUAAUGGGAACGUGUAAAUCGAGUGAUCUGACAGUGUAGGUGUAUUGAUUUAUGGUUGAAGUAAAUAGUCAUAUUGAUUAAGCUUUUAGGCCACAACAUGUAUAGUAGAGUUGAGCAAUCGUGUGACACACUAAGAUGUUACUGGCCAACUUUCGAUGUUAACAAAGAAGAGUGUUACCUACCAUCCCUAGGGUAAGUGGCCAAGGGCUCGGUGGUUCGUAUCCGAGGUUCUAAGUUCGAAUUCUAGUUGAUUCAUAUUUCUAGCUAAGUUUAUUUCUAAAUGAAAUAAAUAAAGCAGGUAGCGUGCUACCUAUCUCUCAAAAAAAAAAAAAAAACAAAGAAGAGUGUUCGAGUGUUGAAUUGUGCUAUAAAUUAAGUCAAUGAAGUUCUGACACUGAAAUGAAGUAGUGAGAAUUACCAUUAAGCCUUCAGGAUAAAGCUUCCACAAAUUCUUAAGCUCAUCAUUUUAAAAGUGUCUUCCGUAGAUUCUUUCUUGUGAUUAUAAUUAAACGACGAUAAAUCGGAUGGGGCUAUCACUAGGGUAUCGAAUUACAAUCCAAGCUGAGAAGAUAUCAGCAAACCGAACUAUAAAGCUUCCUUUAUUCAACACGUUUAAAAAUCGGGUCAAACAACGACUUGGAAUAUUACUAGAUGAAGGGUCACUGAUACAUCCAGUGAGUCAACCAUUAGUUGAACCAGUAAAGUCAGUAUAAUAUCGUAAAUAUUUUAUUAUAUAAUAUAUAUAUAAUAAUAUUAUAUAUAUAUAGAGAGAGAGAGAGAGAAUUAAACUGGAAUGUUAUCAGUAGCAAACAGGCUCCGGUGCUAUCCAUUUAUUUUCAAUGAUAGAGUCUUCAAAUCGACGAUCGGCAUCGUAGAAUAUGAUUUAUACCACUUGAAGUAUCUAGAAAUCAAGUUUCAAAUCUUUUCGACAUUAUUGAUCUAAUGAGCAAAGGUUUUCAAAAUUUGUAGUUUUAAUGGUCAAUAUGAUGUGAUUUCGCGUUUAACGGUAUAAAGAUAUCCAAAUUAAUUGAAUUUUGAUUAGAAAUUUUUUUGGUUAGAAAAUUUUUUAAACUAUCCAAAAUAAGAUCUAUACUUUUGAUCUUGAUUACAAGAUCCCUAUCAUCACUUUUUAAAAAAUAUUCAUUUUCAGCUGUUCAUUUUUUGUGUCCACUUGAUGAACAAAAGGAUAAUAUCGAAAAAGUAUGAAAUUUGAUUUCUAGAUGCUUCAAGUGGUAUAGAUCAUGUUCAAUGAUGCAGAUUGUUAAUUUGGAGGCUCCAUCAUCGAAAACAAAUGAGUGGCAACGGAACUUGUUUGCUACUAAUAGCAUUCCAGUUCAACGCUAUAUAAUAUAUAUUAUUAUUCUAGUAUCAUGCUUAAUUUUAAAGUAUUGAUUUUUAGACCAAAUUAAGUAAUAUAAAUUUUUAAUUUACAUAUUUUAUAAGACGCUAACAGAAAAUAAAAUCAGCUAAGUUGAUUUUAGGUUGUUGGAGUUUAAUAUGACUUAAUCAAAAACAUCCAGCCGGUUCAAUUAAAACUGGGCCGAUUCAUCAACAUGAACGGUUUGAAGCGGUUUUCAUCUUAUCCGGUUCAAAGGUUGAACCGAACCGCUUCAUAGACUGGUUACAGUUAGACCGGUCAAACCGCUUGGUUCGCUCAAUUUUUAAAUCAUUGCUUUUAGUUGCAACAAAAUUCAGAAAUUAGGGUUAACUUUAGAACAUAAAUAGAAAAGCGAGAGAGAGACGAGAUUGGAGACUAUUUCUAUAUUGAUGUUAUUAUUAAUCUCUCGGCAAUCAGACACAAAUGAAGUGGAUAGUAUGUAAGAUUGUUAAAUAUCCUGCCCCACAUCAGUCCUUUUCUUCUGUCGAUCAUCGUACUCCUUUUUUUCAAUUAUCUUGCAUAUUAACCUUAUUUACUAUGUGCACUGGUGUCUCUACAUGCUGUCUUUGACCAGUGAGUCACGCUGAUAGCGAAAUUCACCCUCAGCGCUUUUUCUCAUAUUUCUACUUCUGUGGUUACCGUAAGCUCUGCAAGAUCUGCUCAUUUUUAUGUUAGUGGAUCACAUUUUUCGUAUAAUCAAGCAUAAAGAGAUCUAACUGGACAAGGAUCCAACGCACAUGAAUAUGUAGAAGUGAAAAAUCCAAGCCUAAUUAAUACUAUCGUUGAUUCUUUAUUAGUUAUUUCCUUCUUUUCACAUUUUCAAUUGUGCCCUUUUUUUCAUGUUUCCCGAUGUCCUUUGCAUAUUAGUGAUUUUGUAUAUAUGCGAAUAUUGAUCCUAUGUUGAUAAAGGAAAAUGUAAUGUAUGUUGAUCUGUUCAUUGCUAGUAUAAUGUUUGCUUAUUUCCACAUUAUUAAUUGUCAAAUGGGAUGGGAAUGACUCGUUGACAUUUUAUUCUCUUGCACUACGUUAGCAAAAGAUAUAAAAGCAACGGUAGAAGUUAAUCACCUGUAUUUGAAUUGAAAGUGAUCCGUUGAAUAAAAAAUGAACUUGUUUACUUAAUUACCAUUUAAUCUUCAUGAAGGUUUAUUAUCUGUCAUUUGUACAAUUUAUUAAGUAGUUUCUAUAAAGGUUUUUUUGUCCCCUUAUUCAUAAUUACAGCGAAAAUUUAUUAAUUUAUUAUUUUGAACUUGAAACUUCACAUGCCUUUGCUUGCCCUGAUGCUAAGGCCGCUGAAAUCUUAUGAUUUGGUUGGAGAUGCAUCCUAAGGAAAUUGAUAAAGAAAAGUCUUGCACAACUUGCAGUAGGUGUCUUUUCAUUAUCGAACAAAAGCAUUCAAUUCCUUGACCUGGUCUACUUGUCUCCUAUUUUACUCGACCGUUGAGAAGAAAUGAAAGACGAUGCUCAAUUUUUUGCAUGAGAUAAUAAAACCUUGAGAUAUUCACAGAUUGGCAAUGUAAAAUUGGCAGGUCUCUUUUUCUUUUUCCAUUAAAGACUUUAUUCCUUUACACAGAUCCAGAUGGCCUUUUACUUCCUUCUCUAGAUAUUUUUCAAAAAAUGGGUGAAGUGAGGAGUAAACUAUGCAGCACUUCACUUAAUAACCUAUCAAGAACUAAAGGUUCCGAGAUUCUCUUCAGUUUUUUAUUGGAAAUCCAUUCAAGACAGACAACUUCAGCUGUCAUUGAUAGCAAAAAGGGCUCAUUACAAUUAUAGGUGGUCCCUCGCAUAUUUGGUGUCGGUUUCAGUUCAAUGUAGUUGACCAGAAUUUUGGUAUCCUAUUGAAGACAGAAGGACAGCUCCUUGAAGACAGAUUGGAUAAAGAUGGGUAGAACUGGGAGCAUCCUAUUACUGAGUUUCAAAGAUUAAACUACAGUAUUUGAAGGCUGUGAAGGAUAUAGCUCAUUUUAUCUGCCUAUUUUCAUCUAUUUCUUUUGAUUUCUCAAAAGUCAUUUUCAACUUCCCUUUUCAGCGUUAUGUUAUGUGUUGUAUUCUACAUGUUAAUGACAAAUCUUAUCUUGGUCAAUUGAACUUUAUGAUCAACAUUCGAUGUGAGUAGCAUCAUGUAUUUUUCUUGCGGAGUACUUUUGCUUAUAGUAUUGGUUGUUCAAUCUUGUUAAAACUCAUCAGGUUAGAUGUGCACACUGAUGUUCUGUUCUUAGUCAUUAAACAAACAUGGAUAGCUGUAAUUUCGUAAAUUUAAUUAUAUUCUGAUCUCUUUAAAAUGCAGGAGUGGUAGCUUGUCCAUUCGACUGUAAAACAACAUAUGCUUCAGACUUUUUAAAAGGUUGCUUAUUUUCCCAGUAUAGGGAAGGCAGAAUACAUUCAGAGCACUGUGCUUGUUGAACGUGAUGGCAGUGUCUUACUGACUAUUUCGCCCAGUCCAACUAGAUCUCGAUGAAUUCAUUGAAGUGGUCAUCAAACAUAAUGAAAGGUUUUUGUUUUUUAGGACCACUUACUUGUGGUGUGGUAUGGCCUUCAUCAUGAAUUCUUGAUGGGAGAAAACUCUACUGUACUACGUCGUUCGUCUUCUGGGCCUAUUCAGAGUGGUCCAAUAUAUCUGCCAUGGGCUUGUCCUUUUAUAAAUUUACCUUCUGGGCUUGUGCUAUUUUUCCCUACUGACCCAAUGUCAACUUUUUAUGAACUUAUUCUGAGUCUUAACUUCCUGUUAUUUGAACAGUAGUAAGCAUUCUAGUUUUGUUAUGUCAAUAUUAUGUCUGUUAUUUUCAAGAUUACUUUUAUCACCGUAUCAAUAAAAUCUUCCGCAGAUAAUUGCUGUAAGUUAGGUCUUGCCAUUUAGAAGGAUGCUAACAUUUUGAAGUUUUAGUUGGAUUGCAUCAUCAGAGGUCCACAUUCCGAGCACACAUAGACAGUGGCACUGUGUCUAACAUCCCAAAUGCCUUGUUCGGAGCAUUUGUUACAGCAACUGAAUUGGUCAUUGGACUGGAAAGCAUCUGGUUUAGAAUUUAGCGUUAACAAGUCUGGUUCUCCGCCUUUCCUACCAUCGCAAACAAAACCAUUUUUGGCGCACAUAUUAGGUUUAGCCCAAACUCACAUGAAACAAGAUAUCACUUAUCUAAUGUAACCCAUCUAACUGGCAAGCUUAAUCUCACACAUUCAGACCGAUGUCAUAGAUUAGCUCUUUAAACUCUUUUAACUUUUAUUCCAUCUGGAAAUAUAUAUCUUUAUAUGUGAAAAUCUUAGCAAUUUUGCUUUCCCCUGUCAUCCUUACUUAUUUUCCCUAGUUCUAUUGACUUGUUUGCUUCCCUCCAGGUGGUGGGCCUCUGCUUGGUUGGUGAUCAGAUUCAAGGCCGCUGUAUGCGUUCCCCCACCCCCAUGUGAGAAAGUAAGGUAGUACGUACCUUAUAAAUUAUUCUCUGCAUCUCUCUUUGACUUGCUGCUUUUUCUUUGUUUUCUUGUCCUCUCACUUUUUCUAUGGUUGUUUAACAAAAUAUAUUUACAUUAAUCACUGGUAUCUUUAAUGUGUCAUAUGUACAAGUUUUUUUUGAUCAUUUGAUUUACAUAUCAGCCCUUUAAUCCUCCUUAGCUCUCCUUUUGUAGAUUGAAUAUAAAAUAGUAAAAUUUUAUUCUCUAAUUUUUUUAAAAAAAUCUUAUAUUAGAAUGUUAAGUUUUGAGUUUAAAUCCACCAUUGAAUUUCGUAAGGUAUUUAAUGAGGUAUCUUAGCUUAAAUCGAAGUAGUCUAAUAAAAGUAUUUAUCCUUCGGACUUGCUAAAUCCACUAGUGAUAACAUUGAUGCAUCUGCUUGUAUAGUUUUCUCAAGAAAGUAUAGAUCUCAGAUGAUGCAAUUAUAAGUUUCUACCUCUUUCUAUUCUCUUUUUCCUCUACUUUUUCCUCCAAGACCGUGAUCUGUGAACAGCGAUCAAAUUUAUAUCUAUAUCUGCUGCUAGUAAACUAUUAUCUGUUAACAAACAAUUCCACCUUUAGGUUUAAGGAGGCAUUACAAAAUUUUUUUUGUCUUUCCUUUUUCCUGCAAAUCUCUUUUUCCUGUAUUUUUCUACCAAGACCAUGAUCUGUAUAUCGUAGAAAAGAAGUGAAGCUAACAUCCAUUAAGGCCAGUUUCUCUCUGUCAAUAUGACAGAUAAAGAGAUAGAUGGAAAGAACAAGACCUCAUGGGCUAUCUUUUCUUUCUUUUCUUGCACAUCCUACCUUCUCCUAUUCUACCCACCUGUAUUCUUUCACCAAUAAAAGAGAUUUGUACCAGAUACCACCAUUUCACAGUUCUUCUCUCCGUGAUUGGGGCUCUGAAUCCUUCUGCAUGCUACUUGGCUAAUCUCAGUAGGAAGAUUGUGCUCAGAGGUUGAUCAAUGAGAAAAUAAAAUCAAUUAAAGAAGCAGGGGCAGAGAACCUCACUCAUGAUUCCUUAGUACCUUUUCUCGCAGCCUCUUUCCCUCUCUACCACAGUAAAAAGAGAAAUUAUUCCAUGUACCACACUCUAUGGACCAUGGUCUUAAAAACUCUCUAGUCUGGCUCAGAUGACAAGAGAUUGUAAAUUAAAAUACAAGUACAGUACUACAUGAAAAGAGUAAUAAAUGAUGACAAGAAUAAAUAAAAUAAUUAAUAGGUGAAAAUUGAGCCUUCAAUAUUUAAGUUGUUAAACUACGCUUUAUAUCAGCGGCACUUCAAAUUCAAAACCGAUGACAAUAAAAUUUAAAUAUAAGUCAUUAGAUGCAAUUUACAAUCUUUAAAUACCUUAUGUAUAACAUAUCACAGUUUUUGAUCUAGUUGUUUAGAGAGCUGUAAAUAGUUUUCCUUUUUUUUUUUGUGGAAGUUAGUAAAUUAUCUGUUUUAUUUAUUUUUUAUAAAAAUAAAUUCAGUUAAAAAUGCGUAAUAAUUAAAUUUUGAACUUUAAGAUCUCGGUUACUGAUCAUCAAAUAUACUUUGCUGACAAUGCAAGGUAAUUUAGAAUCUUGGAUUUGAGUUAUAAAUCUCUGGUCUAUGCCCCGUGGUCCAUGCAAUAAUUUGUCUGGUUAAAUGUUUCCGAUCCUUUUCUCUCGGGCACACAGCCUCUCUCUCCAGUCAUUCAUACGGUUGCAGUCAAAUCCAUUUCCCCAAACGAUAGUGAUUGUUGGGUAUUAAAUCCAUCCUUGUGAUUAAAUAACUCACACCCUAUCAAUAUCACUUUUGCCUCUCCUUUUCCACUUUCCCACUCCUCUAUCUCCUCCCUAGCGGCUUCGAGAGAGAGAGAGAGAGAGAGAAGCACACACACAGACUUUUUACAUGCAAAGAGAGCUAAUAGAAAUGGAACCUUGCCUCUUUUUUGAUGCUGUAGCAUCCCAUUUCUGCAUCUCCCCAUGUCUUGUUCCUUUCCACUGCUUCCUUUUUGCUCCAUUAUAGAGGUGAGACCACUCUCUUAUUUGUGCUGCCCACAAGCGUCCACUUUUAAGUUGAAGCUUUUCACUAACUUCUCUACUGCAACAAUCCUCCUUUUAUCCAACCUUUCCACUCUACUGGAACGAACGUAGGAUCUAAAACUCUCUCUCUCUCUCUCUCUCUCUCUCUCUCUCUCUAUUGUGGGCAAAUGACAUGAGCUCACUGAGCCAUGUGCUUCUCCUUGCUACCACCCUCAUCUUAAUGCUCUUCAGUGCUCCCCACGGAGCACGUUGUACCAAUAGAUCUCCAAUCUCGUCUCCUCAGGUACUUAUCCAGAUCCUAAAAAGCAAUUAUUAUUCUCGAGAGUUUGUUUGAAUGUAUGAUUAUUUUAUCACCAUAUCUAUUUUAUUUACCGAAAAAAUUUCUAGAGCUUGGCAGAAAAAGUAUAUGAGCAGUUUUUUUUGGGUAGGCAUACUCUACAUAUUAGGUCCCCAAGCUGAAAUAUAGAGCAAAACUCAAACUUCAACCUCAUAAUUACAAUAAUUUUCUUAAAAAAAGUUUCUCAGAGGACCAUAACUUGUUCCGACGUUCAAAACAGUAUCUCAAUUUUACUUUUUUUUUUUUGACCUAGUCUCCGUGAGUAUGAUGAUUUCUCUAAUCUACAUAGGCAAUGUUAAUGGAGGAGAAGAUCCGGUUGGGGUCGACGCCGCCCAGCUGCCACAACCGGUGCAACACCUGCAACCCCUGCACAGCCGUCCAAGUGCCCACCCUCCCCGCCCGCGCCGCGCGCCUACGACCGUCCGAAUCCGACGGCGGCGGCGGAGAGCUCUCCUUCAACGAGUACGCCAAUUACAAGCCGCUGGGUUGGAAAUGCAGGUGCCGCGACCACCUCUACGACCCGUAAUUAGCUUAGCUGUGGGAGAGCAGUUAAAAUGGUCCUCCUUUUCGUUUCCUUCUUUUGUUUUAUUGUUUUGAGUGGUAAUUUCGCCAUUUUCCAGAUCUGGGCCCUCGGCGCAGGUUCCCUGGGAUUCUUUUGGAUGCACGCAGUGAAGAGCACUGCUGUUCAUAUUUUUAAAAUCACACCUUUCAUUUGCCGUCGAUAUAGUGUGCGUACAGCAAGUCACGAGAAAUUCUUGCAUAUCCGCACGUCGAUCUUAAUGCAUCGCAUCUCUAAACUGUCAUACUAUGGAGGCGCCGAAAUUAUUAUACUUUAAUUUACUAUAUAUAUAUAUUUUGUCGCUGUAUAUAUAUAUAUAUAUAUAUAUAUAUAUAUAUAUAUAUAUAUAAAAGUAUUAAUUAAGUUUUGAGUAAUUAUAUUUUGUGUCUAGUUUUGUUGUAUUUUUCAAUAUUGUUGGUUAUUUUAAUUAUUCGAUAUUUAGAUACUAAUUUUUUAAAUUUGAAAUGUCUGUCGGUAAUGAUCGUGUCUCCGUGUCAAUUAUCAUGCGGGUACUGACGGCAAGGUCAGAUCUUUACAAGGGUAAAUGAUGUGGCCGGGAUUUCUGUCUACUGUCUACUUUCUACUGUCUACUGUUAGGACAUAUUUAUUUCAUAUUUAGAACAGAAAUAAAAAAUAAAAUUGAAUGGUUUUGAAAUAGAAUUGAAAUAGAAGAUAAAAUGAUGAAUCAUCUAAAAAUAUUUAGUUUAUUACUGGAAUAAAUGUCUAAAUGAAAAUUUAGAAUUUGUUAGAGGGUUUUUUAAUUAAAAGAGAGAAAAGUGAUGAGAAAGGAGAAUACCUCGUGAGAGAGAAUUUUGAAUAGUUUAUUUUGGAACGAGCCGGUUGAAAAUUCAAAGUCCGACUGGACCGUAAAUGAAUUUGAUCAUUCAUAUUUUCAAGUGGAAUGAAAGUCAACAUUUAAUUUUUUUAAAAUAAAAAUAAUUAUUAAAAUUAAUAAAUUAUAUUUAGAUUUUAUAGUCUAAAAUAGGUGAAUUAAAGAACUAGGCUGCUAUACUAUCGGUAGUACGGAACGCUUCGUGCUACCAAGUUGUUUUCGGUGAUGCAGCUUUCAAAUUGACGAUCGGCUCCGUUAGAUUUGAUCUACACUAUCGAAAGUAUUUAGAAACUAAAUUUCAUAAUUUUUUGAUAUCAUUUACCUAUCAAAUAAGUAGUUUAAAAUUGAACGGCUGAAAAUAAAAAUUUCAUGAAAAAUGAUGAUAAAAGAUUUAAAUUCAAGAUCAGAUAUACUGAUCUUACUCAAAAUAGUGAAAAGAAUUUUGUAUAAAAUUUUCAUCGUAUUUGGAUUGUUUUACACUGUUAAACUCACAAACAUACCACAUCGGUCAUUAAAAUUGUCAAUUUUAAGAUCUUUUAAUCACUAGUCAAAUAAUAUCGAAAAAAUUUAAAAUUUAAUUUUCAAAUACUUUCAAUAGUAUAGAUCAAGUCUAACGGAGCGGAUCGUCGAUUUAAAAGUCGCAUUAUCGAAAAUAACUUGAUAGCACGGAACACUACUCGCUACCGAUAGCAUAGUAGCCGAACUCGUGAAUUAAAUAUGG
rnacentral:lncRNA from 1 species